rnacentral:rRNA from 1 species
AUAAUGGGUCAGCGACUUAUAUUCUGUAGCAAGGUUAACCGAAUAGGGGAGCCGAAGGGAAACCGAGUCUUAACUGGGCGUUAAGUUGCAGGGUAUAGACCCGAAACCCGGUGAUCUAGCCAUGGGCAGGUUGAAGGUUGGGUAACACUAACUGGAGGACCGAACCGACUAAUGUUGAAAAAUUAGCGGAUGACUUGUGGCUGGGGGUGAAAGGCCAAUCAAACCGGGAGAUAGCUGGUUCUCCCCGAAAGCUAUUUAGGUAGCGCCUCGUGAAUUCAUCUCCGGGGGUAGAGCACUGUUUCGGCAAGGGGGUCAUCCCGACUU